AAGAUUAUACUUUCAAGGGAUCAUUCCUGUAGUUCAUUACUAGAGAAGUUUCUCAGAACGUGUAGAGCACUAAAAACCACAAGGAGGAGGCACAGCAUUUUCUCCUAAGCGUGAAUCCAGCUCUUGGUGUUGCUUCGCCACAACCACCGUUUGCCAUCGAUCUUCUCUUCCUUCUGGAGAGUAAGAGGGAAAGAACACAGUCUGGGUGGC